UCAGAGCUUUCCUGCCCAGGUGGUCCCUGUGGCGCUGCACCGGGACUCAAUGGGACGCUCUAAAUGUCCCCUUCGGGCUGGUUCCACCGUAAAAGAUGGGUAGCGGGGACAGAGUAGAGGGAACCCUGGGCCCUCUGACAGUUUAAAAGAUUAAAAGUUCCAGCCCUGGCUGGUGUCGCACGAUGGACUGAGCACUGGCCUGCGAACCAAAAGGUCACGAGUUGGAUUCCUGGUCAGGGCACAUGCCUGGGCUGCAGGCCAGGUCCGGGUUGGGGUGUGAGAGAGCAACUGACUGAUAUAUAUGUCAUGCAUCA